rnacentral:rRNA from 1 species
GGACUCGGGGGGAAGUAUGCUCGCAAGAGUGAAACUUAAAGGAAUUGACGGAAGGGCACCACCAGAUGUGGAGCCUGCGGCUUAAUUUGACUCAACACGGGAAAACUUACCAGGUCCAGACAUAGUCAGGAUUGACAGAUUGAAGUUCUUUCAUGAUUCUAUGCAUAGUGGUGCAUGGCCGUUCUUAGUUGGUGGAAUGAUCUGUCAGGUUAAUUCCGAUAACGAACGAGACCCCAGCCAUCUAAAUAGCUGUCGCUACUAUAUAUUAUAGUAGUGUGUGUUUUUUCACGUACAGCUUCUUAGAGGGACUAUCUGUGUCAACAGGUGGAAGUGUGGGGCAAUAACAGGUCAGUGAUGCCCUUAGAUGCUCUGGGCUGCACGCGCGCUACAAUGGUGCAUUCAGCGAGAUUAACCUGGCUUGAGAAGGCUGGGUAAACUUAAAAGUGCAUCUCAGUUGGGAUAGAUGAUUGCAAUUAUUCAUCUUGAACAAGGAAUAUCUAGUAAACGCAAGUCAUCAACUUGCAUUGAUUACGUCCCUGCCCUUUGUACACACCGCCCGUCGCUCCUACCGAUUGAAUAAUCCGGUGAAUUGAGUGGGUUGGAACACAAGGUUGAUUUAUCAAUUUUGUGAUCCAAGGAGCUCUGUGAACCUUAUUAUUUAGAGGAAGGAGAAGUCGUAACAAGGUUACCGUAGG